rnacentral:rRNA from 1 species
CCCUUAGAUGUCCUGGGCCGCACGCGCGUUACACUGAUGCAUUCAACGAGCUUAUAACCUUGGCCGAGAGGCCUGGGCAAUCUUGUUAACGUGCAUCGUGAUAGGGAUAGAUUAUUGAAAUUAUUAAUCUUGAACGAGGAAUUCCUAGUAAACGCAGAUCAUCAGUCUGCAUUGAUUACGUCCCUGCCCUUUGUACACACCGCCCGUCGCACCUACCGAUUGGAUGGUCCGGUGAAGCCUCGGGAUUGUGGUUCUUGCCGCUUUAUUGUGGCGUGACCGCGAGAACUUGUCUAAACCUUAUCAUCUAGAGGAAGGUGAAGUCGUAACA